rnacentral:rRNA from 1 species
CCUACGGGAGGCAGCAGUGAGGAAUAUUGGUCAAUGGGCGCGAGCCUGAACCAGCCAAGUAGUGUGAAGGAUGACUGCCCUACGGGUUGUAAACUUCUUUUAUAAAGGAAUAAAGUGAUGCACGUGUGCCUUUUUGUAUGUACUUUAUGAAUAAGGAUCGGCUAACUACGUGCCAGCAGCCGCGGUAAUACGGAGGAUCCGAGCGUUAUCCGGAUUUAUUGGGUUUAAAGGGCGCGUAGAUGGGUUGUUAAGUCAGUUGGGAAAGUUUGCGGCGCAACCGUAGAAUUGCAAUUGAUACUGGCAGUCUUGAGUACAGUUGAGGUAGGCGGAAUGCCUGGUGUAGCGGUGAAAUGCUUAGAUAUCACGAAGAACUCCGAUUGCGAAGGCAGCUUACUAAACUGCCACUGACAUUGAUGCUCGAAAGUGUGGGUAUCGAACAGGAUUAGAUACCCUGGUAGUC